GUUUGUGAUAUUCGGCCUAAGA
rnacentral:miRNA from 1 species